UCACAUCCUACUUAUGUAAUAAAUACUGCUAUUAUAUACAACAUGCAUAACGCAUAUAUAUAUAGGAAAUAUAUCCUAAUCUGUUGCAAUUAGCAGAUCCCUUAUGGUUAUUGCUGAUAAGUCUGACCUUGAAAAGCAUAAUCUUAAUUGUUUCUGUGAAUUUUAAAUUCACACGAGUUGCUCAUAAAAUUUAAUAAAUAAUUUAUUAUCUAAUCACUUUAUGUGCCUACUAAACUACAUAAACCUUGUUCCAAAAAAACAUCAUUAUUCACUACUAAAACGUACAUAAAAAUGAAGAAACCUUUAGUGUUAUUUCUACUAUUGGCAAUUUUUCAUCUUAUUUAUCAACACGCGGAAACUCAAGAAGUGACCACAGAGGCGGCAGUAACAGGCCCGACCACUUGCAGCAACAACUCCCAAAAAUGGGAGGCAGCCGCCUGCAACCAGUACUAUCAGUGCUAUCUAGCUCUGUGGAACUACUAUGUCGUAUUAAGGAACUGUAGUACUGGUCAACAGUACAACGCGACCAGCGAAGCUUGUGAAGCAAACUCUACUUGCACUUUAUAAGUUGGACAGUUACAUAAUUUGUAUGCAAGUCUGUUACACUUGCGCUAUUUUAUUAUAAUAUAUUUUAUAUUUGUUUCAUUGAUAUUGGUCUAAUAAAUGUUGAACUACUCAUUUA